GACGAACGCUGGCGGCGUGCUUAACACAUGCAAGUCGAACGGAAAGGCCCUGCUUUUGUGGGGUGCUCGAGUGGCGAACGGGUGAGUAACACGUGAGUAACCUGCCCUUGACUUUGGGAUAACUUCAGGAAACUGGGGCUAAUACCGGAUAGGAGCUCCUGCUGCAUGGUGGGGGUUGGAAAGUUUCGGCGGUUGGGGAUGGACUCGCGGCUUAUCAGCUUGUUGGUGGGGUAGUGGCUUACCAAGGCUUUGACGGGUAGCCGGCCUGAGAGGGUGACCGGCCACAUGGGGACUGAGAUACGGACCAGACUCCUACGGGAGGCAGCAGGGGGGAAUAUUGCACAAUGGGCGGAAGCCUGAUGCAGCAACGCCGCGUGCGGGAUGACGGCCUUCGGGUUGUAAACCGCUUUCGCCUGUGACGAAGCGUGAGUGACGGUAAUGGGUAAAGAAGCACCGGCUAACUACGUG
rnacentral:rRNA from 1 species